rnacentral:rRNA from 1 species
UACGUAUGGAGCAAGCGUUAUCCGGAUUUACUGGGUGUAAAGGGCGUGUAGCCGGGCUGACAAGUCAGAUGUGAAAUUCCGGGGCUCAACCCCGGACCUGCAUUUGAAACUGUUGGUCUUGAGUAUCGGAGAGGCAGGCGGAAUUCCUAGUGUAGCGGUGAAAUGCGUAGAUAUUAGGAGGAACACCAGUGGCGAAGGCGGCCUGCUGGACGACAACUGACGGUGAGGCGCGAAAGCGUGGGGAGCAAACAGG